rnacentral:rRNA from 1 species
GACGAACGCUGGCGGCAUGCCUAACACAUGCAAGUCGAACGGAGAUUAUUUCGAUAAUCUUAGUGGCGAACGGGUGAGUAACGCGUGGGCAACCUGCCCUCUAGAUGGGGACAACAUCCCGAAAGGGGUGCUAAUACCGAAUGUGACAGCAAUCUCGCAUGAGGAUACUGUGAAAGAUGGCCUCUAUUUAUAAGCUAUCGCUAGAGGAUGGGCCUGCGUCUGAUUAGCUAGUUGGUGGGGUAACGGCCUACCAAGGCGAUGAUCAGUAGCCGGUCUGAGAGGAUGAACGGCCACAUUGGGACUGAGACACGGCCCAGACUCCUACGGGAGGCAGCAGUGGGGAAUCUUCCGCAAUGGGCGAAAGCCUGACGGAGCAAUGCCGCGUGAGUGAUGAAGGAAUUCGUUCCGUAAAGCUCUUUUGUUUAUGACGAAUGUGCAGGUUGUGAAUAAUGACUUGUAAUGACGG